AGAUAUAUCAUUUAAAAAAAGGGGAUCAAAUAAAUAUAAAUAGUUAUGUCGUGAUUGUGUUUCCAUAUAUAUUAAUAUUUAAAUAUAUAAAGUAAUAAAAUAAAAUAUAACAAAGGGUUACAUAUGAUAUCUAAGGAGGGUACAAUCAGGCGGCAAACAGAGGAGUGAAACAGAUAAAACAGAGGAGUGAAACAGAUAACCCUUAACAACUUUUCAUUGCACAAUUAAGAACUUUUGACAGCUAGCAUUUAAGAACUUUUCAUCUACAAAAGGAACCGAUUGUUUUUUCUUAUAUAAAAUAUAAAAAUAAUAAUAACCUCUUCAUCUACAAAAGGAACCGACGGAGAAGAAGUAAAGCAAAAGAGAGUCAAGAGGUGAGAGUUAGACAGCAUAUAUACAUACAUCGAUUCGAGAGGGAGAUACCUUAAGAGAGUUCUGACUAGCGACGGAAGAUGGUUUCGUUGAGCGAGUGACUGCCGACCUCUUGGUGGCGACCGGAAACGUCCAACUGUAAGUGUUUUAUAGUUUAUGACUUUUCUUUGAUGCUCUGUCUGUCUAAUUUCUUUUAUCCUCUAAGGAAUCCAACGGUAUGAUUUUUUAGUUUAGAAUUUUCAAAAUUUAAUUUGUAUGAUGCUAACCCAGUCAGAAAGGAGGACUCGGUCCUCAAUCAGAAGCUGUUGUAUUUGAUUUAUCGACAGACUCGGUCCAAAGAAAUCUGAGGAUUCGGUCCUCAUCUCAAAACCUCCUGACCGAGACCAAGCAUCAUCUUUUCCUUCCUUGCCCUUCUCCUUCUUUUAUAAGUGCCUUCUUCUCCAUCGCGUAUACUCAUCGACUUCCACUUCACCUGAGCAUCGACUUCCACUUCAACGCAGCAGGGUAGCGACUACGAACUCCGAAAUCAGAUAACCUCAACCUUUUUUUCUUGUAAAUGCUAUUCGAAAUCAGAUAACUUAUAAUGUUCGGAUCUGUUAUCUAUACAUGGAAUCUGUUUCUUGCAAAAUAAAUUUGAAAGCGACAUUGAAUCUGAUUUGAACCUGUUUUGUGAUCUUUCUCUAAGUGGUUAUAUGAUGUAGACAAUUUUUUGUAUCACCUGUUUGUGAUUAGUUCGAAUAUGUAUUUUGUACAUGGAAUUUGUUAGUGUUUAUGGAGUAUUUAAUGUUGACUGUUGAAUCUGGUGCAAUACCUUGCUCUUCCCUCAUGCCCUGUUGCUUUUUUGUACAACUUGUUUCAUAUUUUGACCAUUUUGUCCUUGGUACCAGUUUGGAAACGCAUAUGGUGCAGUUUAGUAGUGCAGGAGUGCAGGGGUAUGUUUUGUUUCAUCUUUUAACCAUCUUGAAUGGUCUUGAAAAGGAAUAAGUAGUGUAGGGGGGAAGAUCUUGGAGGAUUUAAAGGCACAAUUACAAGUUGCUACAUCAUCAAUUGAUCCAUCUUGGAAUGGGUGGUUAAGGCUAUUGUCCAUCUUUAUUGCAUGAUUUCAUUUUCAUAAUACAUUGACUGGUUUGUAUUAAAUUUGAUUUUAACUUUUGUGUUAACUUUGAAUGGUUUGUAUUCAUAAAGAUUGUUAUUUUUUUUGUAUUGAGGAAACAAAAAAAAUUAAAGAUGUUUAGGUUUUUGGAUCGAACAACAACCAGAAAAUAUGCUUGUUUUUUUAGGGCCCUCUUAGAGACCAAGAGGGCAGAAUAGGUAUAUUGGUGAAAAUAUGGUUUAGUUUUUUCAUCAGUCGUCUCUUUAUCAAUUUUCAUUGAAAAAACUAACAAAAAUCAAUUUUUAGCGCAGUGGACACAUCUGACAUCACAAGUUGCGAGGAAGAAUGUAGUAUUUUCUUGUUUUUCAAUGGUGGUUUUUUGUUUUAAAAUAUACUUACAUACUAUUAUAUAUGUUAAUAAAGUACUGUUGGUUAUGAAAACAGUAUUCUAUUUGAUUU